CGUCAAGUUCGACUGCUACGGCUCGGAGAGGCGGAUCAGCGUUUGGAGGAAGGUUCGAGUGGGUGAGGUUGUUGAUCUCGUCGCAGAGAGACUUGAGUCGGUCAACUCGGCGGGCGGCCGCCACGAUCUUGCAGCCGGCUUUGGCGAGGUUGAGGCAGAACUCGCUGCCGAGACCCGAGGAAGCGCCGGUGACCAUGACCACCUUGCCCUCCAGGUCUUGCCAUGGCUCGAGGUGGUUCGCGACUUGGGACGCCAUCAAUGUGGUUGAGAGUCUCUAGAGAAAGUAGGCACCAGCUUUUAGAGGGAAAAAAAGUAAAGCAAAGAAAAUUUGAUAAGAUGAAAAUAAAUAAUAAAUAAUUAAAAGGGGAAAUAAACUCCUCUAUAUAUUCUAUUGCGACAUUGCGUGAUCAAAUUCCAUUUGUUUAUGUAUCGCCUUUGUAGUGAAUCUAGUGAUGAUGCCAUCGGAUUGUUUGCAGUGAAUUGUCGGAAUUGUUUUUAGUCAUUCUAAUAAUUAAAAAUAAAAAUUUUCAAAUAUUAAAAAUUAAAAAAUUUUAAAUAUUAAAAAUGUUAAAAACGCUUCCUAUAAUAAUUGUUAAAUAGACUCUAAGAGUAUAUUUGAAAGUAAUUCUAAAAAAUAUUUUUAGUAUUUUUAUUAAUGUGUUUUUAAGUAUUAAAAAUAUUAAAAAUACUUUCUAAAAUCACUAUCAAACUAAAAGUGCAUUUAAAAGUAAUUUUAAAAAAUAUUUUUAACAUUUCUAAUACUUAAAUAAUAAAAAACUUCAAGUGUUAAAAAAAUUUAAAACAUUCCAUAAAAUCACUACCAAAUAGAGUCUAAGUUUGUGAAGGGAUCAACACUUAAUAAGUCAUAUUUUAUUAUACAUCUUUCUAAAAUUAGUAUUAAGAAACCAAUUUUUCAGUGUCCAAUAAUUUUCCCUAUUGGUAUAAUUUUCUAAUUACGUAAAAUAAAAAUGGUCAUCAAGGGAAAAUAAUUUUUGAGAACAAACUUUUGCUUAUGAUUUUUUUAUUAUUACUCAAAAAGAGCAUAUUUUAUAUAAUAAUUAUCACGAAUUUCAUAUCUUUUGAGUAGUAACUAUACCUAAAACACUCAAUUAACAUGUUUUUACUUUUGCAAGAAUUACUAAAAAGUCUUAUGAAGUUUUGGGGUAAUUUCAAGGUAUGUUUUUUAUAAAUAGGUGACAAAAGAGAUGAAUCAAAUUAAAGAAAACAAAUAAAGUUGAUGAUGAUCCAAAUGCAUAAUGAAAGAGGCAAUCCAAUCAGUUUGGAUUGGGAUUUGGAGGUAGUUGAAGUGGAAUCAAAAUGAAGAAAUGAGAGAAAUUGCAAAAAGAAGUUGAAAAACCAUGUUUUUCAAUUUCACAUAAACACGAGAAAAAUUCGCACAGUCAUGCAAAUUGAAAUAGAAUGGACUUUGGCUGCAGCACACAAGGGGAAAAGUGAAAAUUGAUUUCGCAUGACCAUACGAAACGCUCCAAGAAGACGAAAAUGGUGCUGAUGGAUUUUCCACUUCGCACAAUCGUGCGAAAUUGUUGGAGCUCAUGCGAAAUUGUUGGAGCUCGUGCGAAAUUGCAUCUUUUCCAAAUUUCUUGAUGAAAAAGUCUCCGGAAGACCUUUUAGAUGAUGCCAAGUGUCCACUUGACCUUGGCCUAUAAAUAGAAACUUGAUUUACUCAUUUAGGGAUUUUUGAUACAUUUCCUAAUUGUAGAAUUUUCCAAAUUUCUUCUCUCUAUAUAAUUCUCUACUUUCCUUCAUUUUCUCUCAUUUUCUCGGUAGCCAAACAUGUCUUGUGAGAUCAAAUCUCAAAGUAUGAGUGGCUAAAUCUUGUUUUUCUUGGAAGAGAAAGGAUAUAGAGAUAAGAUCUAUGGUGAAUUAGAGAAAUGAGAUUAAAUUGCAAAGGUAAUUUGAUCCAAUUGAUUGAUUAAUUGAAAUUUUGAGAUUUUUCUCUUCAAAUUGUCUUGGAUGAUUACGACAAUGUAAGUUAGGUACAUUCAUCAAAUUCUUAAAGUUAGAUUUGAUGAGAUUGAAUAGUUACAUUGUGUGAAUCAUUGGCAGAUAAUUUAAGAUGAAUUGAAUAUAUGAUUUGAAUUGAUCUCUUAGAUUAAACGACCUAAUUUGAAGAGAAAUUAGAUCUAAACCUAAAGUCAAAUCAAAAAUCGGUUUAGAUGAAAAUUUAGGUUUUCAAUCUAACUUGAUGAAAAUUAGAUCUCAACAUCUAUUCACCAUGGAAAUUGUUUUCUAGAAAAUCCUAACUCCGAGAAUUUUAUCUCCUAUUAAUUUUCUUUUAUUUUACAUUUUAUUUUUCUUCUCAAUUUUAGACCAUUGUCAAAUUAAUUUUUCAUCAUGAAUUUUCAAAUCAAUUUCACUUGAUCACAAUCAUUUCUUAUCCUUUCAUUCAAGCCUUAAUUACCGAGAAUAAUCCAUCCUAGUGGACGACACCUAAAAACCACUAUAUUACAGUAGUUUGUACUAAAAUUGUUUUUAAUCGGGUACAAUCUACUUUAGAAUAGUGAAUUAGGUUAUAAAUUUUGUUUUGAUCAAAUAAAUGACAAAAAUCUAAGCGAUCAAUUUUGUAUAUAAAAAAUAAUUUUUUUCACUUAUUCUCGAUAAAACUUAUAAUGUAAAAGUUUUCAAAAUAUUUUUUUAAUAUUUUUUCUUUAUUUUUUGAAAAAUUUUGAUAAAUAAAAUAUGAAAAUACUUUUAAAUUAUUUUUAAAAUAACCUAUUUUCACAACAACAUUUUGAAAAAAACUUUUUUUAUUUUCUCAAAAUUUGGUCAAAUAUAUUCUCUAAGUUGGAGAGUGUCUAAUAUCCUUGUAAAUGUAUUUGGACAAAGUUUUGGAUUUUUAUUAUUUACUUUUGCUUUUAACAGCAAAACUCACUUUAAAAAUCCAAAAAAUAAAAUGAGUUUGGAAAACAAAAUCCAAACUUUAAUCAAAUUUAAAUCCUUUAAUUUUCUCAUUUGUUAAAAGAAUCUCAUAUUUUAUGCCAUUGAUGAAUAAGAAAAAACUUCUUACAUCUCUUAUAAGAAUCAUCUAUCAAUAUUUGAGUAUAUUUUUUUUUAGUGAUGCAUGGUGUUAAUUGAUUGAACUAAAAUUGUAUAAUAAAACCUGUCAAUAGGGAUGACAAUUUAGACACGACACGAUAAUGCAAUUUGAAAAUGAUUGGAUUGUUAAUGUGUUUGGGUUUGCAUGUGAUUGUGUUGUGUCUUAAUAAACAUGUCUUAUUUGGGUUUUCAUUAUUCACCUUGUUUAUGAUUUAUUUGCUUAAUUGUAUCAAAAUAAUUUAUUUAAUCCAUAUAAAUUUAAUAAUUUUAUACAUUCCAAUUAUAAAAAUAAUAAAUACUUUGUUAAUUAUAAAUAUCAUAUAGUAAAAACAUUAAAUAACUAAAUAAAAUUACAUUUGAUUAGUAAGAUUAAAAAUAGUUUAUAGUUAAAAUUUUAAAUAAAAUAAUAAGUAAAUGUAAAAAUUAAAAUAUUAUCCUACUUUUUAUAUUAUGAUCAAAAUUAAAUAAUUACAUUAAUUAAGAUUAAAAAUUAAAGCAAAUGAAAAGUAUUUUAGAAUAAUAUAUUUAUAAAGUUAAAUUCCAAAAUAGGUUAAACGGGUUAUAAUCAUGUUAACUAGUUAAAAUCAUACUAAUGGAUUAUUAUGUCCGAUUUAACCCAUUUAUUAAAUGAGUUAAAUGGGUUGUAUUGAGUUACCUAUAUAAUAAAUGAGUUGUGUUUAUGUUGAAUGUUUCCGACAUGAUUAUUAAAUAAGUCAUAUUUAAAUUAAAUAAAUUUUUACUAUUUUUUUUUUACUUUGAAGACAUUGCCAUCCCUACUUGCUCACAUGCAUUUAAACAAAAAAAUCUUGUAAUUUUCUCUCCAAUCCUUAUCAUUUUUCCCAUCGGCAAGUUCCCUAUUAGGAAAAGAAAUUCCUUGUAUACAUCUCUCAUCCCCAUUCAUGGUCUUUGAAUUCAUAUUUAAAAUUUUCAAAUAUAUAUAUAUAUAUAUAUAUAUAUAUAUAUAUAUAUAUAUAUAUAUAUAUAUAUAAACUAAUAUAUUUUAUAGUGAAUAUGAUAAUUUUUAAAAAAAUAAAUAAAUAUAAAAUUAUAUAUAAAGAAAUAUAUUUAAUAUUAUAUGUAUAUGGUUUGGGUGGGUUUUGGAUAGGGAAUAGUUUCAUUUCCCUGGUCGAGGUUCCCCAUCCCUAAUCCGACUCCAUUAGGGAUGGAUUCCCCAGGGGCACAACUUGGCUGGUUUUUUAUGCCAUCCUUGCUGGAGGGUGGGUUGGGAACUGUUGCCCAAAGCAUGGCCCAUGGGCCCCAACAUUGGCAAAAUCUUGAAACCCUUUAAGAUUAAGCUUGUUAUCUGUUUAUGUAUAUGUGCCGCCAUUUAGAUUGCAGGCCUAAAAAACUUAUAUAGUUUAUGAAGACAUGACCCAACAGGCCCAUCGGGCCACUUGUAUUCCUCUUUAACUUGACACCAAAAGCGCAUUUGGUCGGGUUGAGCUUCAUAUUGUAUGCUUUCAUUAGGCAAAAUGUUUCCUCUAAGUGUAGGACGCGUUUGCUCUGGGUUUUGUUUUUUACCACAAUAUCAUCAAUAUAGACUUCUACGGUUCGGCUGAUCAAGGGUUUGAAGAUUUUUGUCAUCAACCUUUAAUAAGUGGUUCCAACAUUCUUAAGCCCAAAUGGCAUAACCCUAUAGCAGUAUAAUCUGUGCAGCAUCACGAAGGCGGUUUUCUUUUCAUCCGGUUGGAACAUCGGGAUCUGGUGGUACCCGGAGAAUGUGUCUAUGAAAGAGAGCAUCUCAUACAUGGUAGUGGACUCAACUAUCUGAUCUAUUCGAGGUAGAGGGAAGCUAUCUUUCAGGCAAGCAUCAUUCAGGUUGGUGUAAUCAACACAGACUCGCCACUUUCCUCCUUUCUUUGGAACAACCACUACAUUCGCCAACCAAUCCAGAUAUUAUACUUCCUUGAUAAACCCGAUUGUCAGCAACUUGUCCACAUUGAAUUGGAUGAUCUUUUGCUUGUCUGGAUGGAAGCGUCUGACUUUCUGGCAAACGGGUCACGAGGAAGGUAUGAUAUUGAGUCGAUGUAAGGCUACCGAUGGAUGGAUUCUGGGCAUAUCAAAGUGAGUCCAUGCGAAAACAUCCUUGUUCUACUAAAGCACUCCUUCGAGUAAUUUUAAUUCUUUUAGUGCUAGGAGAGAGCUAGCAUAGGUAACACGAUCACUGCUACCUGAGAGAUGCAAGGGUUGGAGCGAGUCUGCUGCUGACAGAUCUUUUUUCGUCAGGCUCUGUAAUUGCUAUUGCUCCUUCGUAUUUGUCAGUCUCGUGUGUGGCUCACUGUUGCUUGGGAGUCCGAAAUUGAGUACCGCUUGAUAGCACUAGCACGUAGCCAACUUACUACCAUAAAGGUCGAUUUGUCCGUCCUCGGUGAGGUAGCUUACCAUCUGAUGAUACGUAGAGGGAAUGACUUUCAUGUUGUGAAGCCACGUGCGCUCCAUGAUGGUGUUAAAAUGGGAUAAGUCCUCUACUAUCGAGAACUGCACAUUCUGGGUGAUCAUACCAACUUGGACGGGUAAUACGAUGUCACCUAAAGACGUUGUCGUUGUCCCAUUGAACCAAAUAAUAUCUGUUUUGGGUUUUCUAGGGCAAUCGGCAGGAGUCUCAUUUGUUUGUAUGACGACAUUUGCAAGAGGUCAACUGAGCUGCCCAGAUCAACCAAAAUCCUUCUUACAUCAAACCCAUUUAUCCCUAAUGUUAGAACUAGGGCGUCUUCAUGUGGUUGUAGUACUCGGUUGGGGUUUACUGGAGGGAAGGUUAUUAUCCCGUCCAUUAGGCAUGCACCUUGAUUACUACUCAAAAAGUGUUAUUUCAUAGCUUGUAAUUAACUCUUUUAAACACUUUUGAGUAGUAGUUAUUGCCUUUUAACCCAAUUAACAUGUUAAGGACCCUUGCAAUCACUUCUAAUCAAUUUGUGUUAAGUUUUGGUGUUUUGAUAGCUUUUUUAUCACCAAAGCAAUCCGAGAUUGAGGAGAGUUAUUUGGAAUCUAUGGCAAAGCAAUGGAAAGCUCAGAAACAUGAAGAACCAAAGCUUUGAAGUCCUUUGUCAUAAGCAAAUCCGGAAUGCAAGGAGGAGAAGCAAAGAGAAAUCUGCCAUGAAGCAUUCUUGAUGAUAGCCAUGUCAGCCACUUUUAGAGCACUUCCUGAAGUCUAAUUUAUGCAUGCUAUAUGUCGUUUCGAAGCUCAGGAAGUCAACAAUCCAAUGCUUCAAAUGGUGUUCAAUUUGGAGUUGAAAUGAAGGAAUUACAGCCAUUACAAGUUGAUCACUCUAAGUUGAAGGAAGAAUUUUGCACAGCGCUGCGAAAUCACCCUUUUGUUGCGAGAUGAUUUCGCAGCCUUUUUGUACAGUGCUGUGGAUUCUCCCCUGAAGUUUCCCGUCACAAUGGAAGCCGAAUACCGCAAGCUGAAAGCCAACUUCGCAGCGCUGCGAAAUCAGCCUUUUGCUGCGAAGUGAUUUCGCAGCCCUUUUUGUGCUUCUACGAAAUCUCGUAGACCUCGUUUUCACCUGCGAAAUGGUCCUUAGUGCUUCCCGAUAUUUGUGACCGACACUUUUGGAUAUUUUGCUUCAGAUUUUUGAUAACUAAAUCCUCAUUUUCUCCUUGUAACCCACCAAUUAUAGGAUUUCUUAGUUAUUAAGUUUGGCAAAGGGGUGAAUAACCUUAGAUAUUUUGUUUUGUAAUUUUCUUUAUAUAUAGCUCUCGGGAGCUUGUUCUUAUAUAGAAUUAUGUAAUCCGACGGGAUAUAGAUUUAUAAAUAUAUAGAAUAUACAGAGCCUUGCUCUGUUUUUUCUUUCUCUUUCAUUUUCAUUUUCUUGCUAAUCAAACUCUGAAGAUUUUUCCUCAGAUGAUGAGAGGCUAGGCUCUUCGUCUCUUGGAGCUAAGGUAACCGGGUAAGUUUUCCACAUGCAUAAAUUGGAAGUUUUGUUGUUUUAGUUUUUAAUGAAGAGAAAGUGUGACCCGUUAAUGGUUUUUAUCUUUUUAGUUAACUUAAAACGCCUUUAAUUCACCUGAGCCAACACUUGGUAAGGCAAGUGAUCUCCGUCCAUGGAGAUGCACUAGUUUAUCUCUUGCGAGCUUUUGGUAGGUGGUUUGAAGGUAGGAUUUUCUAGAAUAGCCAACACUUGUUAAGAUUUUGGACUCCAAUGAGACAUCCAUUAGUUAUCUCUUGCGAGCUUUUGAUGGGUAAUCCAAGGUUAAAGAUCACCUUGAAUGACAAAUGCUAGGUGAGAGGCACGAGUCAUUGCAAGGUGCAUCAAUGAGAGGGAUUUAGUGUUUGAACCCAUUAAUGGGAAGUAUCUGUACAACACUGGUUAGAGAAUUAACUACAUGUUAAUUCUCUAAUGCGAGGAAAAGAAACAAGUGACCAGAACUCUCCUUUUUGUAUGAGGAAUCUGAGCCUAGUGAUCUGAAACUCCAAGAAACACUUUUCUUUGUAAGUAAAAUCAGUUGCUAUUUUUGGUUAGUUUAAAACCAAACUUUUUUCAUUCAAACAUCUUUAUGUUUUCUUUUAAAGCUAACCUUGAAAUGAAAAGGCACCAAUUCAGCUUUGAAUUAAUAUCAUUUGCAAAGUGAAAACCCAUCCCAGUGAACGAUCCUAGAGCCACUAUGCUAUAAUAGCUUUGUCUUUGCUAUCCUAGUAAAUGGUGUAAUAGGUUAUAAAUUUUGUUGAUUACUCCCUCAAUCAAGGAGCACCAGCUGGACACGAAUCAACUGAGACACCAAUUGGGCAUGAAUCACACCUUCACUCGGCAAACUAUGUUGGAUAGAGCUAACCUACUCCCUCACGAAAGCCACUCGUAGCAAUCUUUGUCUCUUUUGUUUGGAAUUGUAUUUUUCGUCAACGAGACCCCCAUGAAUGUAGUUGAUGAUAGCUCUAAGAGCUUCCGAAGUUGUGGACACUUGGAUAGCCAAAUCCCGGGUGGUUUCCCUUUGUCCUUCGAUUGAGCGGAUGUAUCAUUUUAAGUGCUUGGCCUUAAUUAGUCUUUCCACUAAGUAGUGGAAACUUCUGCAUUGUUUCGUGGUGUGGCCAUGAUCUUUGUGAUAGGCACACUUCCUGUUCUAAUCCCGUUUCGUCGAAUCUGUCUUAAUUGACUCUGGCCAUCUAAAAUCAGACAGAUCACAAAUCAUGGGAAGGAGUUUGUCGUAUGAAAUGCUAAGGGGGGUCAGACUAGCUUGGCUUGGCUGCUGCUGGUCGUCUCGCUUCUUGCUGACUUGCCUUAGUUGGUUUGAGAGCUUAGAAUUUUCGGCAUGAUCGUUCCUGGCGGAUCGACGAGUGACCAGGACCUGCUGUGUAGUCUUACAAACAUCGUCUUCAAGAUGGAGUACUUGUUUACUCGUUUGAAUAGGUCAUCCAUUGUCGCUGAUAGUUUCUUAACGAGAGAUUCGAAGAAAUGCGUACUCGGACAAAUGCUUCUUUUGAAGAUUUGUAGGAUGACGUCCAUGCUACAAGACUCUACUUGGAGCACGACCUGUCCGAACAGUUUCACAAACUCCCUCAAUGAUUCAUUUUCCUACAUUUUUAUGUUUUGCGGGGUACUUAUGUUCUAUUUGUCAUGCCGAGCAUAGGUAGUGUCCCACAAAGGCUUCUGAUAGAUCCUAGAAAUUACUCACAAAAUUCUUUAGGAGAUGGUGGAACUACGAAAGGGCCUAGCCAUGUAAGCUAGUUGGAAAGACUUUGCAUAAUAGCACAUCGUUCCCUAUGUUGAGGGUCAUGAGCUGCCUAUAAUGCAUGAUAUGAUCAAACAGAUCACUUGUUUCGUCAUAUGUCAUGAAUUUUGGUACCAUGAACCCUCUUGGGGGCUAGUAGUUGAUGAUGUAAAGGCUAAAAAGCAUGGAGAGCAUGUCACCCAAUCGUCUACUGACAGAGCCAAGCAGUCCUCGUUCUGUCAGAGCCCCUACUUGUUGUUAUGCUGGUGGACGAGAAGGCCAUUCUAGCAUGACCAUUGUAAUCGAGAAACCAAGGCAGGCUUCCUGGGUCGCUGCUACACAUGGUUUCCCUUCCAUGCCAGGUGUCUGAGGUCUUAGCCGAGCUCACAUUGUGUCUGAUAGUUGUGACCUUCUAUCACACCUCUUUUUUGUGGAGAUGUGGGUAGAGUCAGAGCUUUCAUCUAACAGUGCUUGGCAAGUUGGUAGAAACUUUUCUUUAGGUCGUAUCUCCUGGCUACCAGAGAUGAACUUUGCGUCCCUAAGAAAUGACAUUUUUUCGUUUUGUUUGGAGUUUGUUCACUGGCUCUUAGGCUGUCGGCUACGAGGGGGGCUUGACGAAGACACCUGGAUGCGUAACACUUCAAUUUCUUCUCUAAGUCUCCUUGUCUCACAGAGCAAGGACUGUACCUGUCGUUUGCUCUCUUGUUGGCGUCUUUCCAUGUUUUCACACUAGUCGAAGUAGCCAUCGCUACCCAUGGCUGAUGAUCGGCUCCUUGAGGGCGUCGACAUUCUUAACAUUUCCCACAAAUAGCACCAAUGUUGAUGCGAGGUUAACUGGAGUCAGAUCCGCCUUAUGUUGUGCCACUGAGAGCUUUUACCCAGCAACAAGGGACUAAGUGAGCUUUUUCCCUACACAAAGGAUGUCCGGACAAGGUGUCUGAGCACGCCCCUCUGAAGCUUAAGUCAGACACAGGUAGGUUAGAGCUUAUAGGGAGAAAAUGAAUAAACUAGCUUAGGUGUGCAUACCUGGGUUAUGCUUUAGGAAGACUUUUUAUAGUGCUCAAGAGAAAGUUAAUGUAGUGCUGAGUAGAUACUUUGACCUUCACUGUAAUAAUGGUUAUCCUGCAGGUGGCAGAGCAAUCAUUGCAGUUUAGGGCAACUAGCAAGUUCCAUCAAAUGAUGUGUCAUAAUGUAGCUGCCCAUCAUUUCAACCUUCUGGAGAUAUGAGGCAAUGUGUGAUAAUUUGUUGACAUCAAGGAUGAAAAUAUCGGUAAUUACGGAUAUAUCGAUAUUUCGAUUUUACGGAUAUAUCGAUAUUUCGAUUUUACGGAUAUAUCGGAAAUAUAUCGAUGGAUAUUUUGAUAUAAAAUAUUAGUAGACCUAAAAUUGACCAAAACUUAUAAAAAUAUAAAAUAAAACUUUUAGAAAUGAAAUUAAAAUAUAAUAGAUAUUUUAAAAUUAUUUUAUUAAAUAAAUUAAUGUAUAUAUAAUAUUGUACGUGUCAAUAAAAAAAUAUAAAUUUGAUAAGUGUAUAUUGAUUAUUAAAUUAUAUUAAAUAUUAUUUGAUCAUUAUAUUGUGAUAUUUGAUUAUAAUAUAUUUCGAUGGAUAUUUUAACACAAAAUAUCGGUAAAUCUAAAAUUGAUCAAAACUUAUAAAAAUAUAUUAAAAAAAACUUUUAAAAAUAAAAUUAAAAACAUAAUAGACAUUUUAAAGUUAUUUUUUCGAAUAAAUUGAUAUAUAUAUAUAUAUAUAUAUAUAUAUAUAUAUAUAUAUAUAAUAUUGUACAUGUUAAUAAAAAAUAUAAAUUUGAUAAGUGUAUAUUGAUUAUUGAAUUAUAUAAAAUAUUAUUUGAUGAUAAUAUUGUGAUUAUAAUAUGUUUAAUUUUAAAAUCUGUUUAAUAUUAAAAUAGUGAUAUAUUAUAAAAUAAAUGAUAAUAAAUAUAUAAAAUAUUAAUAUAUUAAUAAUAUUAAAAACUCUAUGAAUAAAAUUAUGAUAUUUUUUACUAAUCAAUUAAAUGAAAAUUUUUCAUUUAAUUAUAAAAUAGUCAUAAUUAAUUUGUUAUUUAAAGUGUUUUUUUAAUAUUUUAUUUAUAUUCUAAGUUUUAAUAUAUAUUUCUUUAGAGUGUCAUAUUUAUCAAAGAGCAUGUUUGCCCUAGUGGAACUGGGCCUGACAUAGAAAUCUUUUGUUGGGGGUUCGAAUCCCCCCAACAGCAGGAAGAAAAAAAGCUUAAUUUUGACCGUUGACCGCCUGUGUUGACCGAGCGUUGACCGGCGAUAUAUCUCUGCUGCACCCACCGACACACCGAUAUUUCGCCGAAAUAUCGCCUAAUUCCAAAGGGAAUGAUUACACGUAGCAAGGGAGUUCCGAGCACUGUGGCAAUUAUCUGGACAAUGCUGAGGGAAGUGACGCAUGGACUGACACGUGGAAGGUCCCUACAAUUACUACUCCUCAUUCACGUCUACCAAACAGGCCUUUGGGAUGAAAAUUAUAUACGUCAAUUCCAAGUUUCCAACCCAACACAAUUAUAUUAUUCACCUAAAUCACACUAAACCCAAUUUCCAUUUUUUUGGUGCAUCCAACCUGGAAUAUGUACAUUUUAAUGUAAUUCCUGCACAAAUGAGAAAAGUGAAUAAGCCAUCUUCCUCGACAUUCUUCUUGUAAAUUGAAGAGCAAGAUUUAUUUAUUUAUUUAUUUAUUUGCAUUUUAAAAACCAAUGUGAAAUUUGUCUUUUGAUUUUGAGCAUCCAUGAUGCCGAUAUGUACAUUUCAAUUACCACAUGAAGCAGGAAGUUCAAUCUUAAAUACCGAACAUCAAGCAGAAACCACUACACCCAGUAGAUGUAGAUUUUAAUAUUCAAUGGGUUCAUUCCAAUUGCCACAUUAUUUUCAGCAACCAGAACUCAAAAAAAGCCACACAAAUAACACGAUUAUAAGGAUAUGGGGGAUCGGAUACCUUAUUUUAUUUCCCAGUAUAAUUUUGAGACAAUCAAAUUCUGAGCUGCAGAGUCUGAAAUCCAAUAAAGGAGCUUUGGAGUCUAUGGUGGUGUACCGGGAUGAACCAUCACCUUCCAAAUUAAAAUUCUAGGGCUAUACCACAAACAGAAUUCUGAGAUGUAUUGGGUAUUACAUGAUGAAUAACCCAAGAAAACUAGUACCGUAGAAGAGCUUCAAAGGGAAGAGAAAAUGGGAACACCCGGCAGGGUUGCGCCUGCAUCGACAUUGAAAACGUUACCUGAUAUGUAUCGUGAAGAAUCAUGAAUCAAGUAUCGCACCAGGGAUGUCAAUGCAGGGUCCGAUGUUCCAUAGGCCCGCAAGGGGCAUGUUCUCUGAACCACAGUGUUGAGCCAGUCUUUUUGCAUAAGGCCCGCAGUUAUCUCCGAUUUGAAUAUUCCAGGUGCUAUUGCAUUCGCUCUAAUAUUGUAUGCCCCCAAUUCCAAAGCCAUUACCUGGAAUUGUUAUUAUUUGGAAAAAAAAUAAAUAAAUAAUCAUUCUUCAGUGCCAGACUCAGAUGAGUGUGUAGGAAUAAAGGUUCUACAACAUUUUUGCAUGGAAAAACAGUUGAAGAUGGCAGGAAAUAUACAAUAAAAUGUCGAAUCGAAAUAAGUAUAAUGCUAUAUAAACACAAGCCCUUAACCAGAUUUACAGAAAAUGACUUACAUCUUGGAUAGACAAACUGUACGUAUCAUGCAAAAGCGGAGAAUAAUAUUGGGAUUUUUUGCAUGGGAAGCAAGGUGAGAAGAAUAUUGACUUUUUGUACAUUGAUUUUUAUCUUCUCUUUUUAUACAUUUUAUAUACUCCUCAUGCUUAUUAAAAAAAAAAAAAGACAAAAAUAAUAUUAAAAAUUAAAAAUAAAAUAACAAGACAAGCAUAAUAUAGUGAACAUAAACAUUUGACUACAUUUUCACAAUAUAUUUAAAUCUAACGUUGAAUUUCCUAACUCACCUUUGUUUGCCAGAAUAUAUUAGAAACAAAUUUAAAACAUGUCAGAGAUAUUACCUUUGUCAUGGCGCUCAAGCCUGACUUGGAAGACACAUAGGCUACUGCUCCAGGUGACUGUCCCCGAUUAAGAGAAACAAUGGAAGAAAUAUUGAUGAUUGAUCCUCCAUUCUUGGCAUCCCUCAUGCGCAUACCGACAUAUUUUGACACCAACCAUGAUCCCGUCAAGUUUGUCUUCAGAGUAUUGUUCCAUUCCUCCUCAGAUAUAUCCAGAGGAGAGUUCACAUUGCCUAAGGCACACAGGGCACAGGGCAUGGGUUAAAUACAUCUACCACGCAUUACGUUCACAAAUAUUAGCAGAACACCAGAGAUAAAUUAAAUGAGUAAUAUUGAUGAGAAAAAUAUAUGUGAUUGACUCGGUAUAGAUACCCAGUUGACUUGGUAUAGAUACCCAGUUGACUCGCUGAUUAGUUUCAAAUUUCAGUUAGAACUGAAUGAAAUGAAACGUGCGCUAGAAUUGACAGUAUGAGAAAAACAAGGUUUCCAAAAGUCAGCUGCAAAACGGGAAAUUCAGGAUACAGGAAUAUCAGGAUCGUGCAAAAUCAAAAUUUACCUCUAAUGCCCGCAUUAUUUAGCAAAACAUCGAUACGUCCAAAGGCCUCCCAAGCCUUCUGAACGGAGGCGCUGAUGGAGGAGCCACCGCUGGUGACGUCAAGUUCGACUACUACGGCUCGGACAGGCCUGUCAGCGUUUGGAGGAAGGUUCGAGUGGGUGAGGUUGUUGAUCUCGUCGCAGAGAGACUUGAGUCGGUCAACUCGGCGGGCGGCCGCCACUAUCUUGCAGCCGGCUUUGGCGAGGUUGAGGCAGAACUCGCUGCCGAGACCCGAGGAAGCGCCGGUGACCAAGACCACCUUGCCCUCCAGGUCUUGCCAUGGCUCGAGGUGGUCCGCGACUUGGCAUGCCAUCAAUGCGGUUCAGAAUCUCCAGAGAAAGUAGGCACCAGCUCUUAGAGGGAAAAAAGUAAAGCAAAGAAAAAUUGAUAAUCUGAUAAUAAAUAAGAAUGAAUUAAAAGGGGAAAUAAACUCCCUAUAUAUUCUAUUGCGACAUUGCGUGUACAAAUUCCAUUUGUUUAUGUAU
rnacentral:lncRNA from 1 species